rnacentral:misc_RNA from 1 species
UAUACAAUUCCAUUGUAUAAUCAGCAGGUAAAAAUUGCUUCUAUUGCUUAGUUUUCAGGUGCUCCCUAGUGUUGACUUUAAGCUUGCCUUGUCUUAAAGUUUGCAUGUUGCUCUUCAACUCUCUUCCGUCAUUGAAGUUGCAGUACCAUUCAAUUUAAGCUUUAAAAAUAGCACCUUUCAAUUUUCCGCCAUGGGCUUCCAUUCAAAAUAAUUCUCCAAACUAGCUUCCUAAUCCAAAUAAUUCUCCACGUGUAACUUUCCAUGAAAAUCAACUACUUCAACUUUGACUCAUCCAUCAUUCAAAUCAAUUGCAACCACUCUUCAAAUCCACCUUUUGUCACUUGAUCUACUGGUCAAGAUUCAUGAAAAGUUCCCAUGUCCUUGACUUCAGCCUUAACCUCAAGCUCUUCUUGAAUCCCGAGGGUGUCAUAGUCACCUUUUGGAUUCUCCAUUUGGGUUUCCUCUUUCCACUAGGUCCUGACAUUGCAAGGCUCGCAUAGCUCAGGUCAAGUCCCCAAUCAUUCUCUGUAACUCAGCCAACUUCGCUUGCUGGGGCCAAUUGCCUCUCUACCUCAACCACUCCAUCUGCCAACCAUAGUUUUCUGGCCAAAAAUUCUUGAAGGAACUCAAGAUUUUUCAGCUAUGAUACUACUUGAUACAACAGAAGAUUUUAGGCUAAAAUAGGGUUGGUUUUUCUUGGAAAAGAAAAUAUAAUUAGGGUUUAUAGAAAAUCUCUUGAUAAAAUUUUGAAUACUAAAAAGGAAAAAAGAAAAAAAAAAGAUGGUUGUAGGUGACCGGAGUAGGAGAGAAUGAUGCAGUGUCUUCUUUUCAGUGAAGAAGAAAAGAGCGUUCUCCUUAGAGAAAAAUCAAAAUCCUUUUUAGUGCAGUCGCUCACCAUCGUAAAGGAUGGUUAAGGGGAAGGAUUGAGAGAGUGUGGAUCGCUGUCCCCAAAUGAUCGAGGUCAGGGCUGAAAUUUUUCCCCAGUAUGGAGCGGGAUUAGUUUUCCG